rnacentral:lncRNA from 1 species
UGCUACAAGGAAAAAGUAUUAAAAAGUACAUUGCUUUGCUCUGCAAUGAAGAAUACAUAGUCAUAUUAACAGCAGUUUAUUGCUUUUCAACUUUUAGAACCCAACUAUAGACAAACAUAAAAAAACUCAAUUAUGAUUACAGAACAGAAUUUAACAUUAUGUUUUGACAAUAUAAAAGACCAGAUGACAGAAGUUGGGAGGUUAAUGGUGCGGAAGGGGGCUAUAGGAAAGGGUAUUCUCUCAUCUAACAAAGUUCUAGUUUAGAAAUAUUGUCUGUAGUUCAUGGAACAGGAAAUAAAGGCAUUACUCAAUAACCCACAGAAAAACUAAACUAUACUAGAAGCAGGACGGAGUUGAACUUGCUGUAAAUGAUCUAAAUCCUCAUUUCUCAUAGCAGGACAUCAAUGGGUAAUGUCUGAAAGUAAUGAUUUUUUAAAUGCCCACAUAUUAUGUAGGUAUGGAGAUAAAAAUCAGAAUAAAUAACUAAAAGUGGUGGCAAAAAGUGAGAGUGGGGGUGGGGAUGUGUGGGGCAGUAGACUUUUGCUUUUCACGAGUCCGUCUGUAGUGAUUUGACUUUACUGAUUUGAGUUUUCUAAAUAAGGUACAUGGAUUACUUCUAUUUUAAAAUGAGAAAAAAAAUUUUAAAAAGGACACUCCUGCCCACAACCCUCCUCCCCCCAAAUUCCCUUAUCCCUCCAGACCUACUGUAGCAGAAUAUAAUAAAGUUUGGGAAACCCUGCAGUCUCUCUUCCUGCUUCUCCCUUAGGUGAAGCCUCUUUGCUUUAGUCAAAAUGGAAUAUUUGUUAGCCCAAACAGGGCAUAUUUAUUCCCACCUUCUUGUUUUUAUGUCCCCCAGGCCUGGAAAGCCUUUCCUCCUUAUCUCCACCAGUUGGAAUCCUCCCUUUUAAAAAGGCUCACCUCAAAUUCCACCUCCUCCAAAAGUCUUCCUUGUCCCCUGGUAGAACUCUCUCUCCCCUUGGGGGUUCCUACGAGUCUUCAUUUAUGCCUCUGAUUAUGACAAUUAAAUGUACUUUUUUUUUUUUUUUUUUUUUGAGAUGGAGCCUUGCUCUGUCGCCCAGGCUGGAGUGCAGUGGCGUGAUCUUGGCUCACGGCAACCUCCGCCCCCUGGGCUCAAGCAAGUCUUCUGCCUCAGCCUCCCUAAUAACUGGGAUUACAGGCAUGCGGUACCAUGCCCGGCUAAUUUUUGUAUUUUUAGUAGAGACAGAGUUUCGCCAUGUUGGCCAGGCUGGUCUCGAACUCUUGACCUCAGGUGAUCCACCCGCCCUGGCCUCCCAAAGUGCUGGGAUUAUAGGGUGAGCCACUGCGCCUGGCAAAUGUACUUUUUUCAAGUACUGUUUUUUUUUUUUUUUUUUUGAGAUGGAGUCUUACUCUGUUGUCCAGGAUGGAGUGCUGGGUUCAAGCAAUUCUCCCACCUCAGCCUCCCGAGUAGCUAGGAUUACAGGCGCACGCCACCACACCCGGCUAAUUUUUGUUUGUUUUUUUGAGACGAAGUCUCACUCUUGUCCCCCAGGCUGGAGUGCAAUGGCGCAAUCUUGGUUCUCUGCAACCUCUGCCUCUCGGGUUCAAGCGGUUCUCCUGCCUCAGCCUCCCAAGUAGCUGGGAUUACAGGCGCCUUCCACCACACCCAGCUAAUUUUUGUAUUUUUAGUAGAGAUGGGGUUUCACCAUGCUGUCCACGCUGGUCUCGAACUCCAGACGUCAGGUGAUCCACCCACCUCAGCCUCCCAAAGUGCUGGGAUUACAGGCGUGAGCCACCGCGCCUGGCCUAAUUUUUGUAUUUUUAGUAGAGAUGGGGUUUCAGUACGUUGGCCAGACUGGUCUCAAACUCCUGACCUCAGGUGAUCCUCCCGCCUUGGCCUCCCAAAAUGUUGGGAUUACAGGCGUGGGCCACCGCACCCAGCCUGAAGUACAUUCUUUAGGUCAGUGUUUCAUGCCCCCAACCUUCUUUCACCCCAGCUACCAGAGUGGUCCUCCUAAAUACCAAUCUGGCCCGGUUAGUCCCUUGCUUCAAACCUUUCUACAGCUUCCCAUUGCUCAGAGUCAAAGCUAAGCUUGACUGCUUGGAUUCCACCACUUCUCUCACUGCAUGGGUGAUGCCCCAUUCCCCCUGAAAUCCAUGCACUUUCACCCUCUUGAUUUAACUGUGCUUAGGCAGCUCCUCUGCUUGGAAUGUUUUUUCCUCCCUUUCCAAGUGGUAAGCACUCAUUCCUCUUUCAAGACUCAGUUCAAGUGUACCAUCCUCUAUAAAGGCUUUCCCACCCCAGGGAGAACCACCUAAUACUUCCUAUAUGCUCACUUUGCCUCACCUAGACGUCCAUUAUAUCAUCUUCCACACUUAGUGUGCUUAACCACUUACUUAUCUGAGUUCCCAAUUAAGCCAAGAAUUCCUGGAGGGCAUGUAUAUCUAAUUCCCAGAACCUAGCACAGGGCCUGACACAUGACAGGAAUUUAACCUUUUAGAUUCCAAGGAACAAAGACACACACAGGUUAGUGAUGGGGAUUUAUUAAAGCAUUCACAGGGAAAUAAGGAAGACAAGAACAGCUAC